GAGUUUGAUCAUGGCUCAGAUUGAACGCUGGCGGCAUGCCUUACACAUGCAAGUCGAACGGCAGCAUGAUCUAGCUUGCUAGAUUGAUGGCGAGUGGCGAACGGGUGAGUAAUACAUCGGAACGUGCCCUGUAGUGGGGGAUAACUAGUCGAAAGAUUAGCUAAUACCGCAUACGACCUGAGGGUGAAAGUGGGGGACCGCAAGGCCUCAUGCUAUAGGAGCGGCCGAUGUCUGAUUAGCUAGUUGGUGGGGUAAAGGCCCACCAAGGCGACGAUCAGUAGCUGGUCUGAGAGGACGAUCAGCCACACUGGGGACUGAGACACGGCCCAGACUCCUACGGGAGGCAGCAGUGGGGAAUUUUGGACAAUGGGCGAAAGCCUGAUCCAGCAAUGCCGCGUGUGUGAAGAAGGCC
rnacentral:rRNA from 1 species